AUUCAACAUGGAACGAGUGGCGGACGGGUGAGUAACACGUGGGUAACCUGCCCUUAAGUGGGGGAUAACAUUUGGAAACAGAUGCUAAUACCGCAUAGAUCCAAGAACCGCAUGGUUCUUGGCUGAAAGAUGGCGUAAGCUAUCGCUUUUGGAUGGACCCGCGGCGUAUUAGCUAGUUGGUGAGGUAAUGGCUCACCAAGGCGAUGAUACGUAGCCGAACUGAGAGGUUGAUCGGCCACAUUGGGACUGAGACACGGCCCAAACUCCUACGGGAGGCAGCAGUAGGGAAUCUUCCACAAUGGACGCAAGUCUGAUGGAGCAACGCCGCGUGAGUGAAGAAGGCUUUCGGGUCGUAAAACUCUGUUGUUGGAGAAGAAUGGUCGGCAGAGUAACUGUUGUCG
rnacentral:rRNA from 2 species